GAUCCAAGCUCCCAACAGAAAACAUGCUUCUGGUUGUAAGCCUGAGAACAAGGACUAUUUUACUAUCAAGCUCUUUACAGCUGACAAGCAGGAUAAAAAUACUACACAUUAAAAAAAACUCAUUUGUACAGCUUGAAUAAGACACUACCAUUUCCAAUUCUUCAUCAAAAGCUGCAACCAUGUAUCAAGACCAGCAAGUAGUAACAAACCGAAAAUGUUUACACUUUUAAGCAUUAAAGCCUUUCACAUUAGAUACUA